CCCGUCGAUGGUUCCGCCCGGACGUUUCACUUAGAACACCGGAAUUUCCGGGGUUUCCCCGAAACCAAAAUCAAGCCUGAUUACGUUCAGGUGGGAAUAAUUGACACAGCGGUUGCUGAUAGGCUGACGAGGAGAAGAGUCAGUGCUUAAAAAGACCUUUGAAGACACCAAACGGGGUGCUUGUGGUGUACUUUGUAUACGCUGUGUUGCUGCUUUGCAGACGGACCACGCUGGCUGGAUCGCUCUCCUGGGGAAGAGAGAAAGGGGCAGUUAGCUGACGAAGGAAUAUUGUGGAGUUUCAGUUGAGAAAGAGCGGACACAGAGCCAUCAAGAGUGCAGUUAAUAGCUGCUGUUGACAACCAAGUGUGAGUAACAGCUGCGGUACUUAUCUGUGCAAUACUUGUACGAAGAGUUGUUUGGUGUGUUCCUUUGUGUUUUUGAGGUCCCUGGCCCCACUGGAGAGGGAAGCGUGGGCGAGCCGUGGUUUGACCGGAAGCACGGACGAAGCACUUGGUAGGAAGCAUCGUUCACCAGUAAAACAGUGGCCCUGUGGGAGAAAGGAAGCGCAGGUGAGCCAGAGGAGUGAUAAUCAACACGCCGGGCCUGUGAAUAACACACAUCUCACUCUCAUCGAUGGUCCAGCGAUCGCCCAACUAUCCUCUCGAGGUCGUCGUAGCCAGGUGGCAAGGGCGACCUAAAAACCACGUGAAGUUGUAUAAGAGUGCUGUGGGUGAGUUUCACUGAUUGAUGGUGUUUACGCUUUACUUGCUGUGUGUAUGCUGUGCUUGUAGCGUUCAAACUGCCUAGCCUCAGACGAGUCGCGAGACGACGACAUCCGUUGUGGCCUGGGUCCUAAGGAGAGCGAGAAAAUUGAGCCCUGAGCCCGGGGUGUGUCAACGAGAGCUUCGUUCGUCCAUAGAGCAGACAGUGGCGAAACCCAGUGAGUAUUACCAAGAGUGUACCGUGCGGACUGUGGGUUGUAGCUGUGUGUGUACUGACCUCUCCAACAGAAGCCCGUGGUGAGCGGAGCCCCGACGAAAGUUCGCCCCAACUCGGACCCCGGUCGUGGAAGAAGGAGGGGGAGUUUGGGAAGCGUUCGGCUCCGCGCCAUCGGACCCACUAGUCCCUACGACGCCCGGACAGCCCGAGUGGAUGGGCGAAGGAAUACGGUGCACCAACACUGUAGCGAAAGUCCACUGUUUGCAAGUGAAGCUCUGUGUGCAUGAAGAUCCCCAGUGCUGUGAGUAACGUAACCUGUGAAGUAAACCUGUUCUGUGCUUAUAGCAAUGGCCUACCUGUACAAGUGAAGCUCUGUGUGUGCAUGAAGAUCCCCAGUGCUGUGAGUAACAUAACCUGUGAAGUAAACCUGUUCUGUGCUUAUAGCAAUUACCUACCUUUGCAAGUGAAGCUCUGUGUGCGUGAAGAUCCCCAGUGCUGUGAGUAACAUAACCUGUGAAGUAAACCUGUUCUGUGCUUAUAGCAAUUACCUACCUGUGCAAGGAAGCUCUGUGUGAGUGAAGAUCCCCAGUGCUGUGAGUAACGUAACCUGUGAAGUAAAGCUGUUCUGUGCUUAUAGCAAUGACCUACCUGUGCAAGUGAAGCUCUGUAUGAACGAAGAUCCCCAGUGCUGUGAGUAACAUAACCUGUGAAGUAAAGCUGUUCUGUGCUUAUAGCAAUGACCUACCUGUGCAAGUGAAGCUCUGUAUGAACGAAGAUCCCCAGUGCUGUGAGUAACGUAACCUGUGAAGUAAACCUGUUCUGUGCUUAUAGCAAUUACCUACCUGUACAAGUGAAGCUCUGUGUGCAUGAAGAUCCCCAGUACUGUGAGUAACCUAACCUGUGAAGUGAAACUGUUCUGUGCUUAUAGCAAUUACCUACCUGUGCAAGGAAGCUCUGUGUGAGUGAAGAUCCCCAGUGCUGUGAGUAACGUAACCUGUGAAGUAAACCUGUUCUGUGCUUAUAGCAAUUACCUACCUGUACAAGUGAAGCUCUGUGUGUGGACGAAGAUCCUCCAGUACUGAGAAGCGGAGCGCGCCACGGAUUAUUGGGCCGGAGCCCCCAAAGGAGCCCCUGUCCCCAGUCUUUCCCCCAAGUGGCCCUGGAGGCGAAGAAGAGACACAUUAGUUUUAAAUUACCCUUUCCCCUUCCCCCUUUCCUUUUAAAUAUUUAAUAAAGCUUGUUUUAACUGUA